UGUUUCGGCUAGGGGGCCAUCCCGGCUUACCAACCCGAUGCAAACUGCGAAUACCGGAGAAUGUUAUCACGGGAGACACACGGCGGGUGCUAACGUCCGUCGUGAAGAGGGAAACAACCCAGACCGCCAGCUAAGGUCCCAAAGUCAUGGUUAAGUGGGAAACGAUGUGGGAAGGCCCAGACAGCCAGGAUGUUGGCUUAGAAGCAGCCAUCAUUUAAAGAAAGCGUAAUAGCUCACUGGUCGAGUCGGCCUGCGCGGAAGAUGUAACGGGGCUAAACCAUGCACCGAAGCUGCGGCAGCGACACUAUGUGUUGUUGGGUAGGGGAGCGUUCUGUAAGCCUGUGAAGGUGGCCUGUGAGGGUUGCUGGAGGUAUCAGAAGUGCGAAUGCUGACAUAAGUAACGAUAAAGCGGGUGAAAAGCCCGCUCGCCGGAAGACCAAGGGUUCCUGUCCAACGUUAAUCGGGGCAGGGUGAGUCGACCCCUAAGGCGAGGCCGAAAGGCGUAGUCGAUGGGAAACGGGUUAAUAUUCCCGUACUUGGUGUUACUGCGAAGGGGGGACGGAGAAGGCUAUGUUGGCCGGGCGACGGUUGUCCCGGUUUAAGCGUGUAGGUGUGUGUUCCAGGUAAAUCCGGUUCACUUUAACACUGAGGCGUGAUGACGAGGCACUACGGUGCUGAAGCAACAAAUGCCCUGCUUCCAGGAAAAGCCUCUAAGCAUCAGGUAACAUCAAAUCGUACCCCAAACCGACACAGGUGGUCAGGUAGAGAAUACCAAGGCGCUUGAGAGAACUCGGGUGAAGGAACUAGGCAAAAUGGUGCCGUAACUUCGGGAGAAGGCACGCUGACAC
rnacentral:rRNA from 1 species